rnacentral:rRNA from 1 species
UACAGAGGUCCCAAGCGUUGUUCGGAUUCACUGGGCGUAAAGGGUGCGUAGGUGGUCGGGUAAGUCUGAUGUGAAAUCUCCGGGCCUAACCCGGAAACUGCAUCGGAUACUAUUCGACUGGAGGGUUGGAGGGGGGACUGGAAUACUUGGUGUAGCAGUGAAAUGCGUAGAUAUCAAGUGGAACACCAGUGGCGAAGGCGAGUCCCCGGACAACUCCUGACACUGAGGCACGAAAGCUAGGGGAGCAAACAGG